UUAAUGAAAAGCGUGUACCACUGUUAAUGAAAAGCGUGUACCACUGUUAAUGAAAAACGUGUACCACUGUUAAUGAAAAACGUGUACCACUGUUAAUGAAAAACGUGUACCACUGUUAAUGAAAAACGUGUACCACUGCUAAUGAACACGUACCACUGCUAAUGAACACGUACCACUGCUAAUGAACAUGUACCACUGUUAAUGGACACGUACCACUGUUAAUGAACAUGUACCACUUAGUGAAGAAAAUGCACCUCGUCUUAGUGAAGAACAUUUAUCACUUGUUCAUGAACAUAUCGGACGAGGACAACGCACCACGACAACGUAGCUUGCAGGAGUGAGUGACCAGUAUCUAACAGCGAUGCAAGGCCAAGCCAAGCCAAGCCUGCGACAUGCAAACCACAAUAUAGGUGAUACUUGCGCUGGCAAUGGUCGUGCCAAGUUGCCAGAUGCUGAUGACGUAGUCGUCGUACGUAGCCUAAAUUCUGGCACGUGUUGUCCUCAGUGGUGGCAGAACUGAACUCUCACUUCACACAUGUCCUCAGUGGUGGCAGAACUGAACUCUCACUUCACACAUGUCCUCAGUGGUGGCAGAACUGAACUCUCACUUCACACAUGUCCUCAGUGGUGGCAGAACUGAACUCACUUCACACAUGUUGUCCUCAGCAUCAUG